rnacentral:rRNA from 1 species
CUCUCAGACGAACGCUGGCGGCGUGCUUAACACAUGCAAGUCGAACGAUGAUGCCCAGCUUGCUGGGCGGAUUAGUGGCGAACGGGUGAGUAAUACGUGAGUAACCUGCCCUUGACUCUGGGAUAAGCCUGGGAAACUGGGUCUAAUACUGGAUACUACCUCUCGCCGCAUGGUGGGUGGUGGAAAGGGUUUUACUGGUUUUGGAUGGGCUCACGGCCUAUCAGCUUGUUGGUGGGGUAAUGGCUCACCAAGGCGACGACGGGUAGCCGGCCUGAGAGGGUGACCGGCCACACUGGGACUGAGACACGGCCCAGACUCCUACGGGAGGCAGCAGUGGGGAAUAUUGCACAAUGGGCGGAAGCCUGAUGCAGCGACGCCGCGUGAGGGAUGACGGCCUUCGGGUUGUAAACCUCUUUCAGUAGGGAAGAAGCGAGAGUGACGGUACCUGCAGAAGAAGCGCCGGCUAACUACGUGCCAGCAGCCGCGGUAAUACGUAGGGCGCAAGCGUUGUCCGGAAUUAUUGGGCGUAAAGAGCUCGUAGGCGGUUUGUCGCGUCUGCUGUGAAAGCCCGGGGCUCAACCCCGGGUCUGCAGUGGGUACGGGCAGACUAGAGUGCAGUAGGGGAGACUGGAAUUCCUGGUGUAGCGGUGAAAUGCGCAGAUAUCAGGAGGAACACCGAUGGCGAAGGCAGGUCUCUGGGCUGUUACUGACGCUGAGGAGCGAAAGCAUGGGGAGCGAACAGGAUUAGAUACCCUGGUAGUCCAUGCCGUAAACGUUGGGCACUAGGUGUGGGGGACAUUCCACGUUUUCCGCGCCGUAGCUAACGCAUUAAGUGCCCCGCCUGGGGAGUACGGCCGCAAGGCUAAAACUCAAAGGAAUUGACGGGGGCCCGCACAAGCGGCGGAGCAUGCGGAUUAAUUCGAUGCAACGCGAAGAACCUUACCAAGGCUUGACAUUCACCGGACCGCCCCAGAGAUGGGGUUUCCCUUCGGGGCUGGUGGACAGGUGGUGCAUGGUUGUCGUCAGCUCGUGUCGUGAGAUGUUGGGUUAAGUCCCGCAACGAGCGCAACCCUCGUUCUAUGUUGCCAGCACGUGAUGGUGGGGACUCAUAGGAGACUGCCGGGGUCAACUCGGAGGAAGGUGGGGAUGACGUCAAAUCAUCAUGCCCCUUAUGUCUUGGGCUUCACGCAUGCUACAAUGGCCGGUACAAAGGGUUGCGAUACUGUGAGGUGGAGCUAAUCCCAAAAAGCCGGUCUCAGUUCGGAUUGAGGUCUGCAACUCGACCUCAUGAAGUCGGAGUCGCUAGUAAUCGCAGAUCAGCAACGCUGCGGUGAAUACGUUCCCGGGCCUUGUACACACCGCCCGUCAAGUCACGAAAGUUGGUAACACCCGAAGCCGGUGGCCUAACCCCUUGUGGGAGGGAGCCGUCGAAGGUGGGACUGGCGAUUGGGACUAAUCUAACAGGGGGGGAA